rnacentral:lncRNA from 1 species
CACAGCCCUGCUGUUCCCAACAGCUUAAGAGCAGCCGCAAGCCUCCUCAGACCAAGAGUCCAGGCCCAGAACCCCGGAGUGGGAUCUCCAGCCCUGUCUCCAUUGGACACGGGUGAUGUCGAGAGCGCCCUAUGGCAUAGCUCCUUUAUCCCGCGGAUCCCGAGGCUACCUGGGCGCCUGGCGGUAGAGAUGGGGAGGCCUCCGAGUCCAGAUCCUCUCCAGCACCCAGAAUCUCAGUUUCCUGAACCCUGGAAGUGGGAUGCCCCAAUCCUCAGAUAUGAUGUCAAAAUGCUAUGCCAGCCUCAGGCUUGGGUCUUCUCCUCAAUCGAGAAGGUGAUCGAGGAGGAGACAUCGGGUGAUCAUGCCUACGAUAAACUUGUGGCUUAAGAGGUGUUAAGAGCUUUUUCCUCCUCUGACAUCUGACACGGUAGUCCUGAGAGCUGGGGAAUGGAGACCAUGACUCAGGUGUUCUAUCAUGCAACGUUCCAAGCACUGCCUCAGUUUCCCCUUCUGCAGAACAGACCGUGUGACGCUGUCAGAGAUGACCCCAGGCUGUCUGGCACAAGGGUGACUGUGGCCCUCGGGCAGCAGGUUGGAAAGCCCAGUCUUGGUAUCUCAGAAGAUGGCAAGCAGAAAGAUUUGUUAACCUGGCUACCUGGGAGGCGGCAGGACGCAGGUCACCUCUGGCCACAUCCCGUUCAUCUCUCACUCUGGAUGCAUAUCUAGGGGACAA